GGGAACAGUAAGUUCCACGCAGGCGCACAUCAUUCUUCACAAUAAAGGACACGCCAGAAUUCUGCAGUCGAGACCACAACUUUUGUGUACGUUUCAAAUGUAUUACUACUGAUUAAGCCUGAGGCCUGUAACAUCAACAGUGAGGACAAACCCAGGCCUCCUCUCUCCUUCCACACUGACUCCAAACCUACAGUCACUGGGUCCUGAUUGUGACAGUGGAGCCCAGUUUGCACUGCAGGAUCCAGAGAUGGCAUCAGUGAAGCUGGAAGACUGCAGUCAAACACUGGAGCUGAAUGUCAACAUUAAAGAUGAAGAAGAGGAGGAGAAGAUUGGGAAACCUGUUUCUCAUGGUAUGACGCCGGUAACAUCAACAGUGACGACAAACCCAGCCUGCCUCUCUCCUUCCACACGGACUCCAAACCUACAGUCACUGGGUCCUGAUUGUGACAGUGGAGCCCAGUUUGCACUGCAGGAUCCAGAGAUGGCAUCAGUGAAGCUGGAAGACUG